UUUACACAUCUAAUAUAGAAUUUCAAAAAUCUAAACAAAAUAUCUUUCUUUCCCCCCUCUUUCCCCCUCUUCCUUCCUCACUCUUAUCCCUCUCAUCAUCUCCUUCCCUGUGUUGCAAUCGUUGCCCGCUUCCACUGCCUCCUCUUUCUCCACUCCCUGCUGCAACCCUGUCAUCUUCGCUCCUGUUUGAGUAUUUAAAAAGAAAAACUUUGAAUACAAUUUCUGUGUUUCGUGAUUUUUUACUUUAGUACUCUGUGAUUUAAAAUAUAUCACUUUAGUACCCAAUAGUUUCAUUUUUCUCUUUCCGUUAUCCCUUUUGUUAAUUUUUUUGUUAUAUCAGUUGUAAAGUUAAAAAAUAAAUAAAAAAAAAAAAUCACAGAGUAUUAAAAUAAAAAUUCGAUAACCACAGAAAACUUAAAUUAAUAUUUAAUAAACUAUAGGUGAGAUAUCUGAAAUUUUUGUAUAUGAUUUAAUGAAGAGUUAGCAGAGUUACUGACAGAAAAAAAAUAAAUUUCUAAAAUAGUAAAAUGAUAAACUUUAAAUUAUAAAAUAUUAAAAUAAAAAAUUAUAAAAAUGAUAUUUAAAGUUUAUCUAUUUGAAAAUAAAAAAGAAGAGUCGUUAAAAGGAGAGAGAGA
rnacentral:lncRNA from 1 species